rnacentral:rRNA from 1 species
GACGAACGCUGGCGGCGUGCUUAACACAUGCAAGUCGAACGGAAAGGCCCUGCUUUUGUGGGGUGCUCGAGUGGCGAACGGGUGAGUAACACGUGAGUAACCUGCCCUUGACUUUGGGAUAACUUCAGGAAACUGGGGCUAAUACCGGAUAGGAGCUCCUGCUGCAUGGUGGGGGUUGGAAAGUUUCGGCGGUUGGGGAUGGACUCGCGGCUUAUCAGCUUGUUGGUGGGGUAGUGGCUUACCAAGGCUUUGACGGGUAGCCGGCCUGAGAGGGUGACCGGCCACAUUGGGACUGAGAUACGGACCAGACUCCUACGGGAGGCAGCAGUGGGGAAUAUUGCACAAUGGGCGGAAGCCUGAUGCAGCAACGACGCGUGCGGGAUGACGGCCUUCGGGUUGUAAACCGCUUUCGCCUGUGACGAAGCGUGAGUGACGGUAAUGGGUAAAGAAGCACCGGCUAACUACGUG